AUGCCACUCGGACAUUCCGAUUGCUCCGCGCCGUCCGCACCCACCUGACGACUGCUCGCCAGGUUUUGUGAGCC
rnacentral:sRNA from 2 species